UACGUAGGGGGCGAGCGUUGUCCGGAAUCAUUGGGCGUAAAGAGCGUGUAGGCGGCUCGAUAAGUCUGCUGUGAAAGUCCAGGGCUCAACCCUGGAAGGCCGGUGGAAACUGUCGGGCUAGAAUCCGGAAGAGGCGAGUGGAAUUCCCGGUGUAGCGGUGAAAUGCGCAGAUAUGGGAGGAACACCAAUGGCGAAGGCAGCUCGCUGGGACGGUAUUGACGCUGAGACGCGAAAGCGUGGGGAGCAAACAGGG
rnacentral:rRNA from 1 species